AUACUUACCUGGCAGGGGAGAUACCAUGAUCACAAAGGUGGUUUUCGCAGGGCAAGGCUGAUCCAUGGCACUGAGGAUCUGCUGAAUUCAGCAAUAUCCCCACCUGGGGGAAACUUGGCUGCAUAAUUUGUGUUGGUGGGGUGUUACAUUUGCACUUCCCCU
rnacentral:snRNA from 1 species